UACGAGUGCUUCAAGCGUUAUCCGGAAUCAUUGGGCGUAAAGGGUGUGUAGGUGGUUGUAUUAGUCUCGCGUUAAAUCUUCCGGCUCAACCGGGAGGCUGCGUGGGAAACGGUACGACUUGAGGACGGCAGAGGUUUCUGGAACUCAUGGUGUAGCGGUGAAAUGCGCAGAUAUCAGGAGGAACACCGGUGGCGAAGGCGGGUCUCUGGGCAGUAACUGACGCUGAGGAGCGAAAGCGUGGGGAGCGAACAGG
rnacentral:rRNA from 1 species